rnacentral:rRNA from 1 species
CGCAAGCCUGACGGAGCAAUACCGCGUGAGGGACAAAGGCCUUCGGGUUGUAAACCUCUUUUAUCAAGGAGGAAAUUUUGACGUGUACUUGAUGAAUAAGCAUCGGCUAACUCCGUGCCAGCAGCCGCGGUAAGACGGAGGAUGCAAGUGUUAUCCGGAAUCACUGGGCGUAAAGCGUCUGUAGGUGGUUUAGUAAGUCAACUGUUAAAUCUUGAAGCUCAACUUCAAAAUCGCAGUCGAAACUAUUAGACUAGAGUAUAGUAGGGGUAAAGGGAAUUUCCAGUGGAGCGGUGAAAUGCGUAGAGAUUGGAAAGAACACCGAUGGCGAAGGCACUUUACUGGGCUAUUACUGACACUCAGAGACGAAAGCUAGGGUAGCA